GACGAACGCUGGCGGCGUGCUUAACACAUGCAAGUCACGGGGGCCCAGCAAUGGGUAACCGGCGAACGGGUGCGUAACACGUGAGCAACCUGCCGAUCUGAGGGGGAUAGCCGGCCCAACGGCCGGGUAAUACCGCAUACGGUUUCCAUGGGACAUCCUGUGGGAACGAAACCUCCGGGGCAGAUCGAGGGGCUCGCGGCCUAUCAGCUAGUUGGUGGGGUAACGGCCCACCAAGGCGACGACGGGUAGCNGGUCUGAGAGGAUGGCCAGCCACAUUGGGACUGAGAGGCGGCCCAGACUCCUACGGGAGGCAGCAGUGGGGAAUCUUGGACAAUGGGGGCAACCCUGAUCCAGCAAUGCCGCGUGAGUGAAGAAGGCC
rnacentral:rRNA from 1 species